rnacentral:rRNA from 1 species
GACGAACGCUGGCGGCGUGCUUAACACAUGCAAGUCGAACGGAAAGGCCCUGCUUUUGUGGGGUGCUCGAGUGGCGAACGGGUGAGUAACACGUGAGUAACCUGCCCUUGACUUUGGGAUAACUUCAGGAAACUGGGGCUAAUACCGGAUAGGAGCUCCUGCUGCAUGGUGGGGGUUGGAAAGUUUCGGCGGUUGGGGAUGGACUCGCGGCUUAUCAGCUUGUUGGUGGGGUAGUGGCUUACCAAGGCUUUGACGGGUAGCCGGCCUGAGAGGGUUACCGGCCACAUUGGGACUGAGAUACGGCCCAGACUCCUACGGGAGGCAGCAGUGGGGAAUAUUGCACAAUGGGCGGAAGCCUGAUGCAGCAACGCCGCGUGCGGGAUGACGGCCUUGGGGUUGUAAACCGCUUUCGCCUGUGACGAAGCGUGAGUGACGGUAAUGGGUAAAGAAGCACCGGCUAACUACGUG